GCCGCUGUACCUAGAUGGUAGAGGCGUCGCCAGUACCGAUAAUGAAGGUCGCUGGUUCAAAUCCAGCCUGCGGUG